rnacentral:rRNA from 1 species
AACGGAUAUCUCGGCUCUCGCAUCGAUGAAGAACGUAGCGAAAUGCGAUACCUGGUGUGAAUUGCAGAAUCCCGCGAACCAUCGAGUCUUUGAACGCAAGUUGCGCCCGAGGCCAUCCGGCCGAGGGCACGCCUGCCUGGGCGUCACGCCAAAAGAUGCUCCCC